rnacentral:rRNA from 1 species
AGGCCACUGCUAUCGGGGUCCGACUAAGCCAUGCGAGUCACGGGGGUGUCCCUCUGGGACACCACCGGCGGACGGCUCAGUAACACGUCGGUAACCUACCCUCGGGAGGGGGAUAACCCCGGGAAACUGGGGCUAAUCCCCCAUAGGCCUGAGGUACUGGAAGGUCCUCAGGCCGAAAGGGAUCCGCCCGAGGAUGGGCCGGCGGCCGAUUAGGUAGUUGGUGGGGUAACGGCCCACCAAGCCGAAGAUCGGUACGGGCUGUGAGAGCAGGAGCCCGGAGAUGGACACUGAGACACGGGUCCAGGCCCUACGGGGCGCAGCAGGCGCGAAACCUCCGCAAUGCGGGAAACCGCGACGGGGGGACCCCGAGUGCCGUGGCAACGCCACGGCUUUUCCGGAGUGUAAAAAGCUCCGGGAAUAAGGGCUGGGCAAGGCCGGUGGCAGCCGCCGCGGUAAUACCGGCGGCCCGAGUGGUGGCCGCUAUUAUUGGGCCUAAAGCGUCCGUAGCCGGGCCCGUAAGUCCCUGGCGAAAUCCCACGGCUCAACCGUGGGGCUUGCUGGGGAUACUGCGGGUCUUGGGACCGGGAGAGGCGGGGGGUACCCCUGGGGUAGGGGUGAAAUCCUAUAAUCCCAGGGGGACCGCCAGUGGCGAAGGCGCCCCGCUGGAACGGGUCCGACGGUGAGGGACGAAGGCCAGGGGAGCAAACCGGAUUAGAUACCCGGGUAGUCCUGGCUGUAAAGGAUGCGGGCUAGGUGUCGGGCGAGCCUCGAGCUCACCCGGUGCCGUAGGGAAGCCGUUAAGCCCGCCGCCUGGGGAGUACGGCCGCAAGGCUGAAACUUAAAGGAAUUGGCGGGGGAGCACUACAAGGGGUGGAGCGUGCGGUUUAAUUGGAUUCAACGCCGGGAACCUCACCGGGGGCGACGGCAGGAUGAAGGCCAGGCUGAAGGUCUUGCCGGACACGCCGAGAGGAGGUGCAUGGCCGCCGUCAGCUCGUACCGUGAGGCGUCCACUUAAGUGUGGUAACGAGCGAGACCCGCGCCCCCAGUUGCCAGCCCUUCCCGCUGGGAAGGGGGCACUCUGGGGGGACUGCCGGCGAUAAGCCGGAGGAAGGAGCGGGCGACGGUAGGUCAGUAUGCCCCGAAACCCCCGGGCUACACGCGCGCUACAAUGGAAUC